GAUGAACGCUGGCGGCGUGCCUAAUACAUGCAAGUCGAGCGAACGGACGAGAAGCUUGCUUCUCUGAUGUUAGCGGCGGACGGGUGAGUAACACGUGGAUAACCUACCUAUAAGACUGGGAUAACUUCGGGAAACCGGAGCUAAUGCCGGAUAAUAUUUUGAACCGCAUGGUUCAAAAGUGAAAGACGGUCUUGCUGUCACUUAUAGAUGGAUCCGCGCUGCAUUAGCUAGUUGGUAAGGUAACGGCUUACCAAGGCAACGAUGCAUAGCCGACCUGAGAGGGUGAUCGGCCACACUGGAACUGAGACACGGUCCAGACUCCUACGGGAGGCAGCAGUAGGGAAUCUUCCGCAAUGGGCGAAAGCCUGACGGAGCAACGCCGCGUGAGUGAUGAAGGUCUUCGGAUCGUAAAACUCUGUUAUUAGGGAAGAACAUAUGUGUAAGUAACUGUGCACAUCUUGACGGUACCUAAUCAGAAAGCCACGGCUAACUACGUGCCAGCAGCCGCGGUAAUACGUAGGUGGCAAGCGUUAUCCGGAAUUAUUGGGCGUAAAGCGCGCGUAGGCGGUUUUUUAAGUCUGAUGUGAAAGCCCACGGCUCAACCGUGGAGGGUCAUUGGAAACUGGAAAACUUGAGUGCAGAAGAGGAAAGUGGAAUUCCAUGUGUAGCGGUGAAAUGCGCAGAGAUAUGGAGGAACACCAGUGGCGAAGGCGACUUUCUGGUCUGUAACUGACGCUGAUGUGCGAAAGCGUGGGGAUCAAACAGGAUUAGAUACCCUGGUAGUCCACGCCGUAAACGAUGAGUGCUAAGUGUUAGGGGGUUUCCGCCCCUUAGUGCUGCAGCUAACGCAUUAAGCACUCCGCCUGGGGAGUACGACCGCAAGGUUGAAACUCAAAGGAAUUGACGGGGACCCGCACAAGCGGUGGAGCAUGUGGUUUAAUUCGAAGCAACGCGAAGAACCUUACCAAAUCUUGACAUCCUUUGACAACUCUAGAGAUAGAGCCUUCCCCUUCGGGGGACAAAGUGACAGGUGGUGCAUGGUUGUCGUCAGCUCGUGUCGUGAGAUGUUGGGUUAAGUCCCGCAGCGAGCGCAACCCUUAAGCUUAGUUGCCAUCAUUAAGUUGGGCACUCUAAGUUGACUGCCGGUGACAAACCGGAGGAAGGUGGGGAUGACGUCAAAUCAUCAUGCCCCUUAUGAUUUGGGCUACACACGUGCUACAAUGGACAAUACAAAGGGCAGCGAAACCGCGAGGUCAAGCAAAUCCCAUAAAGUUGUUCUCAGUUCGGAUUGUAGUCUGCAACUCGACUACAUGAAGCUGGAAUCGCUAGUAAUCGUAGAUCAGCAUGCUACGGUGAAUACGCUCCCGGGUCU
rnacentral:rRNA from 1 species